rnacentral:lncRNA from 1 species
CAGAGGACCCACUUGGAGCAAAUGCUCUCCCCAAGAAAGGUUCUGGAUUCGAGUCCUAGUAUCCGUGUACUGUGUGUGAGUUUAGUAUGUCAUCGUCCUUCUCAAUAGAAAAUGUCCUUAAAAAAAGAUUGGAGACAGGGGCUUUGAAAUCCCUGACCUCCAACUUAGCCUUCAAACACUACACCAUCGUGGUAACAUGUC